CCGUUCGCCGAAAGACCAAGGGUUCCAGUCCAACGUUAAUCGGGGCUGGGUGAGUCGACCCCUAAGGCGAGGCCGAAAGGCGUAGUCGAUGGGAAAUUGGUUAAUAUUCCAAUACUUCUGUGUAAUGCGAUGAGAGGACGGAGAAGGUUAGGUCAGCCUGGCGUUGGUUGUCCAGGUGGAAGACAGUAGGCAUGCAUCUUAGGCAAAUCCGGGGUGCUCUAUGCUGAGAGUCGAUAGCAAGCCAGUUUACUGGCGAAGUGGCCGAUACCAUACUUCCAAGAAAAGUCUCUAAGCUUCAGUUACACAGGAAUCGUACCCGAAACCGACACAGGUGGUCAGGUCGAGUAGACCAAGGCGCUUGAGAGAACUCUGCUGGAGGAACUAGGCAAAAUGGUACCGUAACUUCGGGAGAAGGUACGCUGCUGAUGGUGAUAGGACUUGCUCCUUGAGCUGUCGGCAGCCGCAGAAACCAGGCCGCUGCAACUGUUUAUUAAAAACAUAGCACUCUGCAAACACGAAAGUGGACGUAUAGGGUGUGAUGCCUGCCCGGUGCUGGAAGGUUAAUUGAUGGGGUUAGCGUAAGCGAAGCUCUUGAUCGAAGCCCCAGUAAACGGCGGCCGUAACUAUAACGGUCCUAAGGUAGCGAAAUUCCUUGUCGGGUAAGUUCCGACCUGCACGAAUGGCAUAAUGAUGGCGGCGCUGUCUCCAGCAGAGGCUCAGUGAAAUCGAAAUCGCUGUGAAGAUGCAGUGUACCCGCGGCUAGACGGAAAGACCCCGUGAACCUUUACUGCAGCUUGACACUGAACUUUGACCUUACUUGUGUAGGAUAGGUGGGAGGCUUUGAAGUAGGGACGCCAGUUCCUAUGGAGCCAUCCUUGAAAUACCACCCUGGUAAUGUUGAGGUUCUAACUCUGACCCAUAAUCUGGGUCGAGGACCGUGUCUGGUGGGUAGUUUGACUGGGGCGGUCUCCUCCUAAAGAGUAACGGAGGAGUACGAAGGUGCGCUCAGCGUGGUCGGAAAUCACGCGUAGAGUAUAAAGGCAAAAGCGCGCUUAACUGCGAGACCCACAAGUCGAGCAGGUACGAAAGUAGGUCUUAGUGAUCCGGUGGUUCUGUAUGGAAGGGCCAUCGCUCAACGGAUAAAAGGUACUCUGGGGAUAACAGGCUGAUACCGCCCAAGAGUUCAUAUCGACGGCGGUGUUUGGCACCUCGAUGUCGGCUCAUCUCAUCCUGGGGCUGAAGCAGGUCCCAAGGGUAUGGCUGUUCGCCAUUUAAAGAGGUACGCGAGCUGGGUUUAGAACGUCGUGAGACAGUUCGGUCCCUAUCUACCGUGGGCGCUGGAAAUUUGAGAGGAUCUGCUCCUAGUACGAGAGGACCAGAGUGGACGAACCUCUGGUGUACCGGUUGUGACGCCAGUCGCAUCGCCGGGUAGCUAUGUUCGGAAGGGAUAACCGCUGAAAGCAUCUAAGCGGGAAGCCUACCUCAAGAUAAGAUUUCCCCGUGACUUUAUGUCACCUAAAGAGCCGUUCAAGACCAGGACGUUGAUAGGUUGGAUGUGGAAGCAUAGUGAUAUGUGAAGCUGACCAAUACUAAUUGCUCGUGAGGCUUGACUAU
rnacentral:rRNA from 1 species